rnacentral:tRNA from 1 species
GUCUCUGUGGUGCAAUUGGCUAGCGUGUCUGGCUGUUAAUCAAAAGGUUGGUGGUUCAAGCCCACCCAAGGAUG